UAAAUAAGGUGUUGCUCUAGGAAUUAUCAUAGUUUGUAUUUCAGUCUUUAUUCAGCUGAACUGAAGGAUAAAACUAGAAUUUUUCUUCCUUAUCUAACAGGCACCAGAAGUAAUCAGAAUGCAAGAUAAAAACCCAUAUAGCUUUCAGUCAGAUGUAUAUGCAUUUGGGAUUGUUCUGUAUGAACUAAUGACUGGCCAGCUACCUACUCGAACAUCAACAACAGGGAUCAGAUAAUUUUUAUGGUGGGACGAGGCUAUCUAUCUCCAGAUCUCAGUAAGGUACGGAGUAACUGUCCAAAAGCCAUGAAGAGAUUAAUGGCAGAGUGCCUCAAAAAGAAAAGAGACGAGAGACCACUCUUUCCCCAAAUCCUCGCCUCCAUCGAGCUGCUGGCCCGCUCAUUGCCAAAAAUUCACCGCAGUGCAUCAGAGCCCUCCUUGAAUCGGGCUGGUUUCCAAACGGAAGAUUUUAGUCUGUAUGCUUGUGCGUCUCCUAAAACACCCAUCCAAGCAGGGGGCUAUGGUGCGUUUCCAGUCCAUUGAAACAAACUAAAUGAGUGAGACAUUAAAGUAAGGUAGCAACCAAAACAAAUGAAUAAUUUCCCUUAUACUUAAAUUAACUAGGAACUCUGCUAUACACAGGGGAGCCAAAGAGUGUUUGUGUUGAAAAACUUAGGAAUUGCUUUCCAAGUCUUAAAAUCAUACUUAACAUUGAAUUUCAACAUCAAGGGGUUAAAAUACACAAAUGCUGCUAAACAUUUUCAGUGCCUCUU